UCUCAGUACCCCGAGGAAAAGAAAUCAACCGAGAUUCCCCCAGUAGCGGCGAGCGAACGGGGAGCAGCCCAGAGUCAACAUCAAUAUUUACCGCAGGAGAAGGGUCUGGAAAGGCCAGCAAUAAAGGGUGAUAGCCCCGUAUCUGAAACGGUAAGUGUUGUGAACUCGAAGAGUAGGGCGGGACACGUGUUAUCCUGUCUGAAUAUGGGGGGACCAUCCUCCAAGGCUAAAUACUCCUGACUGACCGAUAGUGAACCAGUACCGUGAGGGAAAGGCGAAAAGAACCCCGGCGAGGGGAGUGAAAUAGAACCUGAAACCGUGUACGUACAAGCAGUGGGAGCACCCGAAAGGGUGUGACUGCGUACCUUUUGUAUAAUGGGUCAGCGACUUAUAUUCUGUAGCAAGGUUAACCGCAUAGGGGAGCCGUAGGGAAACCGAGUCUUAACUGGGCGUUAAGUUGCAGGGUAUAGACCCGAAACCCGGUGAUCUAGCCAUGGGCAGGUUGAAGGUUGGGUAACACUAACUGGAGGAC
rnacentral:rRNA from 1 species